UACGGAGGAUCCAAGCGUUAUCCGGAAUCAUUGGGUUUAAAGGGUCCGUAGGCGGUUUUGUAAGUCAGUGGUGAAAGCCCAUCGCUCAACGGUGGAACGGCCAUUGAUACUGCAAGGCUUGAAUUAUUAGGAAGUAACUAGAAUAUGUAGUGUAGCGGUGAAAUGCUUAGAGAUUACAUGGAAUACCAAUUGCGAAGGCAGGUUACUACUAAUGGAUUGACGCUGAUGGACGAAAGCGUGGGGAGCGAACAGG
rnacentral:rRNA from 1 species